rnacentral:lncRNA from 1 species
GAAAGUAUGGGAAAACUCUGUGGAAACCCUUGUGAAGGUGCAAAUUGGGUGCUAAGGUUAAAGAAGACCACUUGGCGGAAUGCAAAAGAGAAGAAUCAAGUGCAGAACACCCAAAACCGCCCAACUUUAAAGGGCUCGGGCUAGGGUUCUCGCCGCCAUCGCCCGGCGGUAAAGUUGCACCGCCCAGCGGUGAGCGAUACUUUAUCCUCUCACUUUCUUUCUUUUGAAUGAUUCUUCCCUGUAACACCUGAUUUUUUCCUUCAAUUUUUC